GUGCCAGCCGCUGCGGUAAUACGUAGGUGGCAAGCGUUGUCCGGAUUUAUUGGGCGUAAAGCGAGCGCAGGCGGUUUUUUAAGUCUGAUGUGAAAGCCUUCGGCUCAACCGAAGAAGUGCAUCGGAAACUGGGAAACUUGAGUGCAGAAGAGGACAGUGGAACUCCAUGUGUAGCGGUGAAAUGCGUAGAUAUAUGGAAGAACACCAGUGGCGAAGGCGGCUGUCUGGUCUGUAACUGACGCUGAGGCUCGAAAGUAUGGGUAGCAAACAGGAUUAGAUACCCUGGUAGUCCAUACCGUAAACGAUGAAUGCUAAGUGUUGGAGGGUUUCCGCCCUUCAGUGCUGCAGCUAACGCAUUAAGCAUUCCGCCUGGGGAGUACGGCCGCAAGGCUGAAACUCAAAGGAAUUGACGGGGGCCCGCACAAGCGGUGGAGCAUGUGGUUUAAUUCGAAGCUACGCGAAGAACCUUACCAGGUCUGACAUACUAUGCAAAUCUAAGAGAUUAGACGUUCCUCGGG
rnacentral:rRNA from 1 species